rnacentral:antisense_RNA from 1 species
GGGGAGCAGAAGGCCGCGGGCGGGCGGCUGGCGCGCUGUGUACUUAGGUCGUGUGCUGGGGCUUUUCUCUCCCAGGAGCCGGCGGGGGGAGGGGAGGGGGAGGGGCCACCGCUCCGCCUUCUCCUUUUCGCAAUGUUGACGCAAUCUAUAAAUAGUGGAACAAAAGGACCAACUUCCUCGGAGCUUUGCUGAAACUGCACAAAAAAUCGAGCCGGGGGGUUCCCUGGUCCCCGGCGAUGGGGCGGGGAGCGCGGCGCCGGGGGAGGGGGCGGGCGCGGCGGCGCGGGCCCCGCCGAGGGGGGACACCUGGCUGAGGCACAGCUGCCGCCGCGCCUUUCCGCGCGAGCCCAGAGCUCCGAUCCCUGCGCGGGCUCGAGAGCUCGCCCCGAACGGGGGUCUUCCUCCUCCGCCGUUGACAGGUUUUGACCUGUAGCAGAGAACCAAUUCUGGAGAACAGCCUCACUUCUUUGAUUGAAUACUCACAUAAUGCACUGGAACAUGACAUGAGAUUAAGGUUUAAUAAUGAUAGAAUGAAGACCGCAAUAAAAGAGACCUCUACUUAGCUCAGCAAUUCUUACCUUUCUUACCUAUUUGAUGAAGAUGUCUUUUGAAAGGUGUACUGCAAGGAACAAAAUGUUUGUAAAUUCUGCUUUUACCAAGGUGGAUAAUUACUGUACCUUCCUCAUGGAAAAAGUUUUAUUUAAAGUGUUACUUCUCAUUGAAUACUAUCAAAAAGGGAAAAAAAAAUGACCUAAACUUUUGAGAUAGAUUUGGCUCUAGGCCUACUCUAGGUCCGGUACUUCACUAUAGUCUAUAAAAGAUGGUCCCUGUCAGCAAAGAACUGUAACCUGUAUGAGAAUAUUAUACUAACAUACAAGAAACAAGUAGAGAAUAAUGGAAUGUAAACUCUGGCUUGCUAACUUAAGUGUGGUAGAAGCUUGAAGGAAAUGUGGACUUAAACUUAUCAGAGAAGACUUAUAAGAGGAUAUGAAAGGUGUAAAUUUUGAUACCACCAUUGCCGCCUUCCCCUCAAAAAAGGUGAGAACUGACUAAACUACUGGUACUUAGACCAUGUGGAGAAGGAACUGAAAAUGGAAACAGAAACACGUCUGUACAGAGCAGAGUGUCAGAUAAUAGCUCAUUUUAGUAGAGGGCAAUAAAUGCCACAUGAGAUGAUCACCUCAGCAGAAAACUGUAAGUAAAUGGAGACUUACAGGAGAAUUGAACAGUUGUUUCUGCUGACUCAGUAAAAAGUCUUCAUUUUAUAA